UGCGUAGGCGGAUUAAUAAGUCAGUGGUGAAAACCUGCAGCUUAACUGUAGAACUGCCAUUGAUACUGUUAGCCUUGAGUACGGUCAAGGUAGGCGGAAUGUGUAAUGUAGCGGUGAAAUGCUUAGAUAUUACACAGAACACCGAUUGCGAAGGCAGCUUACUGGACCAUUACUGACGCUGAGGCACGAAAGCGUGGGGAGCGAACAGGAUUAGAUACCCUGGUAGUCC
rnacentral:rRNA from 1 species